UAAUUAUUUCCUUAGGUACUCUUGUCACUGAUUAAUUUGCCUAUGUUCAAUUCCUGACAUAUUAAACAAUGGACAGGCUAGAGGAGGCAGCUGCCCCAAGGCAACACUUCUCUGGAUUAUUGGGGAAGACAAGGGUCAGGUGAGUCUUAACACAGAGUUUUGCUCAAGAUCUAAUCUCCAUGAUUGGCUUCAAUAGUACUAUUUGGAUUGUAAAAACUUUUCAGAUUCUGUGUUUGUGAGCUACUUUUUCCCCCUCUGAUAGCCACCACUUAUUUUCUGGGAAACGAAAAAUUUGAAAGUUAGUGAUAACUUUAAUGUAAAAUCUGAAGCACCUAUGCAGGAUAUUUUAACUUACUUUAUUGGUCACUAGUCAAUACCAGAGAUAUUUUUAAAUUAAUAUUUUACUUAUAGAGCAAGAGAAAUAAAUUCUUAGUGUGUGGGUUUGCAUGUACUGUCAAAAAUAUCUCAGCUAAGAUUCCAGAUAGUCAUUAUCAAUUAUACCAUUGCCUUAAAUUGAGUGCAGUUCUCUAAAUUGGUACCAAUAACCACACCCUUCAAAAGGAAAAUCACACAAAUAAUAAAAGAACCCCCAAACCCUAGCAUGUAUGUGUUUAUAUGUAUAUACACGUAUAUAUAUAUACAUAUAUUUAUGUGUCUCCAUAUACAUAUAUGUAUAUAUAAUCAUAUAUAAACAUAAUAUAUAUAUAUAUAUAUAUAUAUAUAUAUAUAUAUAUAUAUAUAUAUAUAUAUAUAUAUAUAUAUAAACAUUGGGAAUGGAGAGGGAUGCAGAAUAGAAAUUCUCCAUCAAGCAUUGACAUGAUCUUAGGUCACAAUAAACAAUUUUAUUUCACUUAAAAACAGAACACUACUUCAGUGUUGGUUUGCAGAAUAAUGAGGCCCUCACUGCAUUCUAUUUUCUAUCUUCAGCAAGCAUUUUCCCACUCCACCCCAUGGCAACCUGCAGAGCAUCAGCAAGCUUGGCUGGUUUGGACCCUCUUUCCCAAGGCCUGCAGGUGACUCCAGCUGUUCCUCUUGCCAUGUGGAACUGAAGAAACUGAACUAAGUCUGGACCAAGAAAAACCAAAAAAACAAACAAAAAAAAAACCUGUCCUAUUCACUACUGAGUCAAAAUACAGCUUGAGACACGAGAUGCCAGAAGCAAAUAUUUUGAAAUAUCUGAAAGCAAAGGUUAAACAUGUUGAUAAUAACACACAAUUUGGGCUUUGCUUCCCAAUUCCAUUUUCUGAUUUAAAGAUUGUCUUGUUCUCUGUGCAAAUAUUUGUUGACUUGGAAACUGAUAGAGUUGAAAUCAACAGAGAUGAAAUAAACCUUUGUCUGUGACCUUACUCUUUG
rnacentral:lncRNA from 1 species